UACCAUCCUCUAUCUAGUUUUCAAACCAAACACAUUUCCACAGGCUUUUGCAGGACGUUUCUAAUGUACGAUUAGUCUAAAUGAGACGUUCAUUUGUCACAACUUAAAUGGAGUUUUGAUAUUUAUAAAGUUGUGGUCUAGCUUUUCUUUAUCUGAACGCUGUGACUAAGAAAAUAACUGUAGCAUACACAUUUAGUGUCGUUUUUAAAAAAAAUAAAAAAAAUUGAAAGAAUAAAGUAACGUUAGAUUCCACGAUGGAUCGGCUCCGACCUGGAUGCUGGACUUGCCCAUGUGUUGGAUAUCUGUCAACAACUCUGCCAUGCACGGCCAUUCCAGUGGUGCAGCACUAGGGGUGGGGGCUAAUGGGGGCAAGAAGGAAAUACAGGCAGGGACCACAUUACUGCAAGACAAAAUCACUCGGUCAAUUAAUCAUGAUGGUCUUGACAGAGCUAGUCCGUCCCCCUCCACCCUGCCGGAGUCCCCUGGUCACAACUCUCCUGGUAGCACCUUACUGCUGGGUCUGAAGAGGGUGUCUGUGAGGCUGGUCGACUGCAGGAAAACACCAGGGCAGAGUGGAACUGUGAGAGAAGGACACGAGGAGGGAGAUGGAGAUCUGAUUUCAUCAAGGGACACCCUGAACCAUCGUUCUCUUAGUGGGAGGGGCUUAUCGUCUGGGGAGCCUCAACAACAUGUUGCUGAGGAGACAGAGAAGAGUCUCUCCGGAUUAGAACAUCUCCAGAAACACCAGCAGAGACGUACAGGGAAGAAACCUCACCACUGCUGCUCUGACUGUGGGAAGAGUUUCACAAGCCAGAGUGGCUUCAUUAUUCACUGUGAUCACUGUGAUCAGUGUGGUAAGAGUUUUGCUCCAUCUAACACCUUCAAAACUAAUGUAAGAAUUCAUACAGGGGAGAAGCCUCACCCCUGCCUUGAUUGUGGGAAAAGCUUUGUUAGUGCAGGAGCCUUAACCGUACACCAGCAUGUACACACAGGAGAGAAACCUUAUAGCUGUGAUCAGGGUGGGAAGAGCUUCAGUCAGUCAGGCCACCUGACUACACACCAGCUAAUGCACACUGGAGAGAAGCCUUAUAGCUGUGAUCAGUGUGGG